UCCAUAUGCCAUGGGUGCAGCCCUAAAAAGCAAAAAACAACCCCCCAAAAGUAACAGUUCAGAGAUAGAAUUAGCAGAAAAGCCCAAAGUGGUAAGGCCGAGGGCUGCAACCAGUUGAACGCCGAGCUGCCCGGGCCGCCCCCUGGACACGCUGGCGGCCCUCAGCUCCGGGUCCUGUCCCGCUCUGGCUCUCCGCCCUGUCCUGCUUCCUGCCCCUCUCAGACGGCAGGGCCACCCCCCCGGGGGGCGUCGGUCAGCCUCCAGCCCUCCUCCAUCAACCUGAAAAGGUCGUCGAUAUUCCGACUACUUCCACUCUGUGGUUCUGACCCCCCUGGUCUCCCAGAUGCACGGCCUGGACUCUGCUUCCCACGGGCACCUCCACCCGCACAUCCGAGGGCAUCUCGAAUCCCACGCCGAUUCUCAUCACAGCAGCCAGAGCAACCCAUUUCCAGCCAAAGUCUCCUCCAGUGAACCCCACUGAGCCGCCACACCUCACCUCAGUUUACAGAACACAGGGGACAGAGGAACCUGUGGACACCAGGAGGCAACCAGCCGAAACCGGCAUCUGGGGACUCCACCACCAAGCAUCCGAGGGGUCUUCAACCACAAGUGGAGGGGAACCUGGGAGGAGGCGCUGGGAGCAAGGACGGGGUGAGGCUCACAUCAGGCAGACGAGACCGAUGGGCUAGAAGCCACGUGGAAAGUGCUCUUUUAGACACGAGGGUGCGAGGGACUGAGCACUAGACCACAUCGGGGAGCUGUUCACGCUCACCACACACGCACAGGCUCAGAGCUCAUGCUCAGGAUUCACUAAAUUCCAACUUUGAUAAAAAGAAAAGCCUACGAGGA